UAACGCAGAAGCCACCUCCCUGUCACCCACCUCCCAACCCCGACUUCAUUUCUCCCAAGCAAGGGAGCCCGGGGGCCUUUAAAUAGGGCGGCAAGAGGGAUUUUCCACAAGCCCUAAAUCUCCCACAUCCGCCGCCGCCUCCUACCCGACAGAACCUGGACGCCGAGUUUUGGAGCGACGCCACCUCCAAUGCCACUGGAACUCCUCCUCUAGUCCUCUCGCGGAUCGACUUCAUCGGAUCAGGUCACUGAGCUUGGUCGACGGCUUAUGGUCCAACACCCUCUUUCAACCAUAGGAGCUAUAGCAGCCAUCUUCUGACAAGCCGGCCAACAACUCAACAGUGAGAACAACAGCAAGAUCCAUCACUGCAAAAUUUUCUUGUGCAGUGGGAUGUUCCAGCUUGGCUGGAGAGAUGAGGAUAAAUGGAGCGUGAUUUUAGUUUAUCCAUGGAACUUCAUGAAGGAAAAAAAAACAACUCUAAAUUGAGCUUGGCAUGGGAGGUAUUGGAAAGAUUUGUAGCGAGGCAAGGAAUUUGUUGCAGGCAUGUCGGAUUUGAUUUAUCACCGACAUGUUACCGUUAUAAUGUAAGGUUCUGUUGCCUCGUCUGCAAUAUUACUUAUUUCAAUCCAUGAGUUGGUGUAAGCGAUGAAUAUUUUCAUCCUCAAUAUUUGUGGAUUGUGUUUUUAUUUCUGUACUAAUUAAUAUUUUAACUAGUUAGUUAGUUAGUUAUAUAUUACAUUUCUAUUAUAACAUUUGUAUUAUAAUGUAUUUGACGCGUGUAAGAGA